GAAGAGAAAUAGCAGCAUAUUUACUGCAUGAGUAUAUCAAACAUCUUAUACUUUCUCAGUCUCAAACUUUUAACCUAAUAAAUAGACAUCCCUUACUUCCAUUUAUAGCAAGAAGUUCAAGAAAUGUUGGCCUAGUUUGACUAAAGGUCUUGCAGAAGUUUUCAAGAUUAUAUUUUCUUCAAAAAUUUCCUAGCAAAAUAAUGCAGAUAACUUUUUCUUUGUAAUGAUGUUUGAAGGAAAAAAUGCUAGGCAACUGUAAAACUAACAUACAUAACAUGACCAUAUAGAUGCCUUAAACUUGCAAACAGAACCACUGAAAUUGUCUAAAGAGUUGGUAUAAGGGAUGUUUGAAGGAAAAAAUGCUAGGCAACUGUAAAACUAACAGAGACAUAACAUUAUAGAUGCCUUAUACUUGCAAACGAAACUGUUGAUAAGGUCUAAAGAGUUGGUAUGCCCUCUCUACAUGGUAUUCGUAUUAGAAAUGUGGUUUGGUUACAGGAGCUAUGAGAUAUUGAACAAACGUGCACGACUCUAUGGAAC
rnacentral:lncRNA from 1 species